ACUCGGUGGUCCCCGGAUAAGUGUCUGGGUGGUGCGGGCUUGGGUUACGCCUAUCUCCCUGGAGCGCGUGAUGAUUUAGUGUAGCAUAUUUUAUUCCAAGAAAGGUAAGACACAGUUUGCCUAUUUUGUUUAUUUUACAUAUAUUGUCCCCACAAAUUGGACAAGCAUUUUUUUUUUCCUUUUCCUGAUUGAAGGGAGGAUACGCCACCCAAUUGGCCUC
rnacentral:lncRNA from 1 species